GCGGGCUUUGAUGAAACCAUGGGGCUCUUGGGCGUGGUGGCCGACUGAGAUGAGCCGGUGGUGGGCCGGGUCGGUGUACUGGUGGUGGCCCUUACAAACAAAAAAGAAAAGGUUCUUCGAGGAGAUGGAGGCAACCACUCAUUACAGAUCCUCUAAUAAGCCUUUCUGGAGGAGAUUGAAACAUCAUCAGAAACUUUCAGCUUCAAAUCCAAACCCACAGUCUGAUCUUCAAUUAAAACCCCUCAAUCAGCAUUACUGUCCAAACCACUGACUGUAUAUGAGAACUGGACCGAGUGCGUGUGACGUCACCCGCAGAACAUCCCAGAAUACAACCCAAUGAAGUCAGCCGGUCGCCAUUUUUUCACGGUAUGGACGCCAUGUUGGUAUCAGAAAUCAUCAGUAAGCAAUGAUUGGGUGGAGUCGGUCUGAGUCAUAGUUUCUGUGACAACCUUUCUGGCCAAUCAGGAGUGAGCUUGUUGUUAGACCACACCCCUACGAUUUUAAAGCACGCUUGGGAGAAUCUGUCAAUCAAACGUGUUGAUUGUUCAAUGUGAGACCACAUACUUUUGUGGA